AAGUCAUGUCAGCAACAGAAUCUGUGGAAGAACUCUGGAGAAGCGAAGAUACCGGAUAUUGGUGACCUGGGAGGAUUUAGGAAGCAGCAAAUGGAUGGACGCAGUAAGACUAAAGUUCAAAGAUAAAAGAGAAGCAUCUGUCAACUGAUGAAGGAACUGUCUUUACAGAAAAUAAGAAGACACACAGAGACAACUGGGAGAAAGCCAUGUGAAGAUGGAGACAGAGAACAAAGGUCUAUUGCCACAAGCCAGGGAAGACCAAGAGCCACCAGAAUAUGGAAGAGACAAGGAAGGAUCCUCCCCUAGAGACUUCGAAGGGAUUGUGGCCCUGCUGACACCUUGACUUCAAAC